CUUGUCCGGGGCCUUGGCCCAGGGAGAAAAGCGCUGUUCCGCGUGGGAACGUGUGGAACGUUUACAGCUACCGUAAGAGGGGAGCUGAAGGGUGACCGCCAAGGGUAGUGUGCGCCCCACCUCGGGAAGCUGGGCAGAGAGGAGCCCCGGGGCCCACGGGGGCAUCCUUUACUCAAAGUCCGGGCUCACCCAGGAACAGGACCAGAGACAUUCCCGUACAUCCCAGAACUUUCCGGGGCCUCGUCGGUCUUAUCUCCAAGAUGAUGUUACAGAUGAAGGAACGGCCUGCACAUGACUGAAAUACAAAUGGGUAAAGCAAUUUUUUUCCACUCCAAACUC
rnacentral:lncRNA from 1 species